rnacentral:snoRNA from 1 species
CUAAAUGGUGAUUAGAAAAUAAUAUAAUAACUUUUAUGAUUUACAGCCCUGAAU